rnacentral:rRNA from 1 species
UACGUAGGUCCGAGCGUUGUCCGGAAUUAUUGGGCGUAAAGCGCACGUAGGCGGUCUGUUAUGUCGGAUGUGAAAGCCCUUGGCUCAACUGAGGAAGUGCAUCCGAAACUGGCAGGCUAGAGUACGUAAGAGGGUCGCGGAAUUCCCGGUGUAGAGGUGAAAAUUCGUAGAUAUCGGGAGGAACACCGGUGGCGAAGGCGGCGACCUGGGACGAUACUGACGCUGAGGUGCGAAAGCGUGGGGAGCAAA